CAGCCGCCGCGGUAAUACGUAGGGUGCGAGCGUUAAUCGGAAUUACUGGGCGUAAGGCGUGCGCAGGCGGUUGUGUAAGACAGGUGUGAAUCCCCGGGCUUAACCUGGGAACUGCGCUUGUGACUGCACAGCUAGAGUAUGGCAGAGGGGGGUGGAAUUCCACGUGUAGCAGUGGAAUGCGUAGAGAUGUGGAGGAACACCGAUGGCGAAGGCAGCCCCCUGGGCCAAUACUGACGCUCAUGCACGAAAGCGUGGGGAGCAAACAGGAUUAGAUACCCCAGUAGUCCCUGUCUCUUAUACA
rnacentral:rRNA from 1 species